rnacentral:rRNA from 1 species
GAUGAACGCUGGCGGCGUGACUAAUACAUGCAAGUCGAGCGAACGGACGAGAGGCUUGCUUCUCUGAUGUUAGCGGCGGACGGGUGAGUAACACGUGGAUAACCUACCUAUAAGACUGGGAUAACUUCGGGAAACCGGAGCUAAUACCGGAUAAUAUUUUGAACCGCAUGGUUCAAAAGUGAAAGACGGUCUUGCUGUCACUUAUAGAUGGAUCCGCGCUGCAUUAGCUAGUUGGUAAGGUAACGGCUUACCAAGGCAACGAUGCAUAGCCGACCUGAGAGGGUGAUCGGCCACACUGGAACUGAGACACGGUCCAGACUCCUACGGGAGGCAGAAGUAGGGAAUCUUCCGCAAUGGGCGAAAGCCUGACGGAGCAACGCCGCGUGAGUGAUGAAGGUCUUCGGAUCGUAAAACUCUGUUAUUAGGGAAGAACAUAUGUGUAAGUAACUGUGCACAUCUUGACGGUACCUAAUCAGAAAGCCACGGCUAACUACGUG